rnacentral:rRNA from 1 species
GACGAACGCUGGCGGCGUGCCUAAUACAUGCAAGUCGAACGGAAAGGCCCUGCUCUUGUGGGGUGCUCGAUUGGCGAACGGGUGAGUAACACGCGAGUAUCCUGCCCCUGACUUUGGGGUAACUUCUGGAAACUCCGGCUAAUACCGGGUAGGAGCUCCUGCACCAUGGUGGUGGUUGGAAAGAUUCGGCUGUUGGGGAUGGACUCGCGGCUUAUCAGCUUGUUUGUGUGGUAGUGGCUGACCAAGGCUUUGACGGGUAGCCGGCCUGAGAGGGUUACCGGGCACAUUGGGACUGAGGUACGCCCCAGACUCCUACGGGAGGCAGCGGUGGAGAGUAUGACGCAGUAGGCGGGCGCCUGAUACAGAAGCGCCGCGUGCGGGAUGACGGCCUUUGGGUUAUGAACAGCUUUCGACUGAGACGAGGCGUGAGUGACGGUAAUGAGUAAAGAAGCAACGGCUAACUACGUG